rnacentral:rRNA from 1 species
GCGGUACUACAACACAUGACCUCAUUGGGGUAGGACAACCCGCUAGACUUAAGCA